GGGUUGAUCAAGAUGGUCUUUUUGAAGAAGAGUCCAAAUUCUAGCUUGGGAGAGGGUUCAUCGAGGAAGAAGGCGUGGCUGACAAUUUUCUCAACUCCAACCCCACCAGCUCCAUUAGUUCCCAGUGGAUCGAUUGGGUCCUCCAGUAUGGUCUCGAUUGAGAUUGAGGUGUAGGAGGGCAGCUCUCCCUACUACUUUGCAUCCCAUCUAGGUGGUGACCCCUCCUCGAACCUCGUCACUAACCAAAUCAGAUUCAUUCUCGGGGUCUCCAAUAGCUCCAGCUCCUAAAGUCUAUCAAGAAGUAGGGCCAUCCUCAUUGGUGAUCGAAAAGGAGUAUG
rnacentral:lncRNA from 1 species